AUUGAACGCUGGCGGCAUGCCUUACACAUGCAAGUCGAACGGCAGCGGGGGAGAAGCUUGCUUUUCCUGCCGGCGAGUGGCGAACGGGUGAGUAAUACAUCGGAACGUGCCCUGUAGUGGGGGAUAACUAGUCGCAAGAUUAGCUAAUACCGCAUAGGACCAGAGGGUGAAAGUGGGGGACCGCAACUCCUUAUGCUAUAGUAGACGCCGACGUCUGAUUAGCUAGUUGGUGGGGUAAAGGCCUACCAAGGCGACGAUCAGGAGCUGGUCUGAGAGGACGAUCAGCCACACUGGGACUGAGACACGGCCCAGACUCCUACGGGAGGCAGCAGUGGGUAAUUUUGGACAAUGGGCGAAAGCCUGAUCCAGCAAUGUCGCGUGUGGGAAGAAGGCCUUCGGGUUGUAAAGCACUUUUGUCCGGAAAGAAAUGGCUCUGGUUAAUACCUGGGGUCGAUGACGGUACCGGAAGAAUAAGGACCGGCUAACUACGUGCCAGCAGCCGCCGUAA
rnacentral:rRNA from 1 species